AGUCUGCUCAGAGAGCGCGCGUGUGUGUGUGUGUCUGUGUUUGUGUGUGUGUGUGUGUGUGCGCGCGGAAAGCGUAUCAGAAGAAGAAAGAGAGAGCGGAUCAUACAGGAGGAGGCGAGAGGAGGAGAACCGUGAGUCAGACAGGAGGAGGACUGACAGUCAAAAGCUGCCUGUGCAAAGCUCCCCCAUCCACACCGGCGCCGGUCCAGCUCCUUCAGGUCGCAGUCAAAGAUGUCUUCAGCCACGUCAAGCUACAGAUCUGGACCAACUGGGG